GACGAACGCUGGCGGCGUGCUUAACACAUGCAAGUCGAGCGGUAAGGCCCUUUCGGGGGUACACGAGCGGCGAACGGGUGAGUAACACGUGGGUGACCUGCCCUCAGCUCUGGGAUAAGGCCUGGGGAAACCGGGUCUAAUACCGGAUAUGACUCCAUGACGCAUGUUGGUGGGGUGGAAAGCCUUGUGCGGCUGAGGAUGGGCCCGCGGCCUAUCAGCUUGUUGGUGGGGUGAGGCCUACCAAGGCGACGAC
rnacentral:rRNA from 1 species